GACGAACGCUGGCGGCGUGCCUAAUACAUGCGAGUCGAACGCUGAAGGAGGAGCUUGCUUCUCUGGAUGAGUUGCGAACGGGUGAGUAACGCGUAGGUAACCUGCCUGGUAGCGGGGGAUAACUAUUGGAAACGAUAGCUAAUACCGCAUAAGAGUAGAUGUUGCAUGACAUUUGCUUAAAAGGUGCAAUUGCAUCACUACCAGAUGGACCUGCGUUGUAUUAGCUAGUUGGUGGGGUAACGGCUUACCAAGGCGACGAUACAUAGCCGACCUGAGAGGGUGAUCGGCCACACUGGGACUGAGACACGGCCCAGACUCCUACGGGAGGCAGCAGUAGGGAAUCUUCGGCAAUGGACGGAAGUCUGACCGAGCAACGCCGCGUGAGUGAAGAAGGGUUUCGGAUCGUAAAGCUCUGUUGUAAGAGAAGAACGAGUGUGAGAGUGGAAAGUUCACACUGUGACGGUAGCUUACCAGAAAGGGACGGCUAACUACGUG
rnacentral:rRNA from 1 species